AGAUAGCCAUGCAUGUCUAAGUACAUGCCGUAUUAAGGCGAAACCGCGAAUGGCUCAUUAAAUCAGUUAUGGUUCCUUGGAUCGUACUCUACUACUUGGAUAACUGUGGCAAUUCUAGAGCUAAUACAUGCAGCAGAGCUCCGACCUUCGGGAACGAGCGCUUUUAUUAGACCAAAACCGAUCGGGCCUCGUGUCCGUGAAACGUGGUGACUCUGUAUAACUUUGGGCUGAUCGCACGGGCUCGUCCCGGCGACGUAUCCUUCAAGUGUCUGCCUUAUCAACUGUCGAUGGUAGGUUACGCGCCUACCAUGGUCGUAACGGGUGACGGGGAAUCAGGGUUCGAUUCCGGAGAGGGAGCCUGAGAAACGGCUACCACAUCCAAGGAAGGCAGCAGGCGCGCAAAUUACCCACUCCCGGCACGGGGAGGUAGUGACGAAAAAUAACAAUACGGGACUCUUUUGAGACCCCGUAAUUGGAAUGAGUACACUCUAAAUCCUUUAACGAUUAUCCAUUGGAGGGCAAGCCAAGUGCCAGCAGCCGCGGUAACUCUUGCUCCAAUAGCGUAUAUUAAAGUUGUUGCGGUUAAAAAGCUCGUAGUUGGAUCUCAGUUCCAGACGGGCGGUCCGCCUACCGGUGGUCACUGCCCGUUCUGAACAGGCCAGCCGGUUUCUCUUGAUGAUCUUUACCGGUUGUCUUGGGUGACCGGCAAGUUUACUUUGAAAAAAUUAGAGUGCUCAAAGCAGGCGCGACGCCUGAAUAAUGGUGCAUGGAAUAAUGGAAUAGGACCUCGGUUCUAUUUUGUUGGUUUUCGGAACACGAGGUAAUGAUUAAGAGGGACAGACGGGGGCAUUCGUAUUGCGACGCUAGAGGUGAAAUUCUUGGACCGUCGCAAGACGAACUACUGCNAANUUUUUUUUUNGGAAAAGAA
rnacentral:rRNA from 1 species